rnacentral:rRNA from 1 species
UGGGGAAUAUUGGACAAUGGGCGCAAGCCUGAUCCAGCCAUACCGCGUGGGUGAAGAAGGCCUUCGGGUUGUAAAGCCCUUUUGUUGGGAAAGAAAUCCAGCUGGUUAAUACCCGGUUGGGAUGACGGUACCCAAAGAAUAAGCACCGGCUAACUUCGUGCCAGCAGCCGCGGUAAUACGAAGGGUGCAAGCGUUACUCGGAAUUACUGGGCGUAAAGCGUGCGUAGGUGGUCGUUUAAGUCUGUUGUGAAAGCCCUGGGCUCAACCUGGGAACUGCAGUGGAAACUGGACGACUAGAGUGUGGUAGAGGGUAGCGGAAUUCCUGGUGUAGCAGUGAAAUGCGUAGAGAUCAGGAGGAACAUCCAUGGCGAAGGCAGCUACCUGGACCAACACUGACACUGAGGCACGAAAGCGUGGGGAGCAAACAGGAUUAGAUACCCUGGUAGUCCACGCCCUAAACGAUGCGAACUGGAUGUUGGGUGCAAUUUGGCACGCAGUAUCGAAGCUAACGCGUUAAGUUCGCCGCCUGGGGAGUACGGUCGCAAGACUGAAACUCAAAGGAAUUGACGGGGUCAUAGC